rnacentral:misc_RNA from 1 species
AAGUCGUAACAAGGUUUCCGUAGGUGAACCUGCGGAAGGAUCAUUAUUGAAAUAAACCUGAUGGGUUGCUGCUGGUUCUUUAAUGAACAUGUGCACACCUGUCAUCUUUAUAUCUCCACCUGUGCACCUUUUGUAGACCUGGAUAAGUUUCUUAAUGCUAGCAUUAAGGUUUGAGGAUUGACUUUGUUGUCUCUCCUUACAUUUCCGGGCCUAUGUUUAUUCAUAUACCCCAAUGUAUGUUAUAGAAUGUAAUAAUUGGGCCUUUGUGCCUAUAACACUAUACAACUUUCAGCAACGGAUCUCUUGGCUCUC